rnacentral:rRNA from 1 species
GAUGAACGCUGGCGGCGUGCUUAACACAUGCAAGUCGAACGGAAAGGCUCCUGCUUGCUGGGGUACUCGAGUGGCGAACGGGUGAGUAACACGUGGGUGAUCUGCCCUGCACUUCGGGAUAAGCCUGGGAAACUGGGUCUAAUACCGGAUAGGACGAUGGUUUGGAUGCCAUUGUGGAAAGUUUUUUCGGUGUGGGAUGAGCUCGCGGCCUAUCAGCUUGUUGGUGGGGUAAUGGCCUACCAAGGCGUCGACGGGUAGCCGGCCUGAGAGGGUGUACGGCCACAUUGGGACUGAGAUACGGCCCAGACUCCUACGGGAGGCAGCAGUGGGGAAUAUUGCACAAUGGGCGGAAGCCUGAUGCAGCGACGCCGCGUGGGGGAUGACGGCCUUCGGGUUGUAAACUCCUUUCGCUAGGGACGAAGCGCAAGUGACGGUACCUGGAGAAGAAGCACCGGCUAACUACGUG